rnacentral:lncRNA from 14 species
AUUCAAGCUGUAUUAUGUUGUGAGCCUCUCUGCAUCUGAAAGCACAGACCCUGGGGCAGAUUGCUUGCUGGCUUUCUGUGAAAAAACCCGGCUACUCUUCGAGUUAACAUAGUGGGAGGUAAGUG